rnacentral:rRNA from 1 species
UACGGAGGGUGCAAGCGUUAUCCGGAUUCACUGGGUUUAAAGGGUGCGUAGGUGGGUCUGUAAGUCAGUGGUGAAAUCUCCGGGCUUAACCCGGAAACUGCCAUUGAUACUAUAGGUCUUGAAUCUUCUGGAGGUCAGCGGAAUAUGUCAUGUAGCGGUGAAAUGCUUAGAUAUGACAUAGAACACCAAUUGCGUAGGCAGCUUACUACACGAUCAUUGACGCUGAGGCACGAAAGCGUGGGGAGCAAACAGG